GCCUGGGUGGCUCAGUCAGUUGAGCAUCUGACUUUGGCUCAGGUCAUAAUCUCGGGGUCCAUGGGUUCUUGCCCCGCCUUGGGCU
rnacentral:tRNA from 1 species